rnacentral:rRNA from 1 species
ACAUUCGCCGAUAGUACACUGAAGGCACCUGUUCCCCAUGGAACACUGAAGUUAAGUAACGUUGCACGUGGUUGGUAUCCGGAAAGGUGACCAUCUGGGGAUGUGAGUGCUGGUGGCUUUU